ensembl:lncRNA
UGGGCUCAGCCUCAGGUGUAACCCGGGGAGCAGGUUCCUACUCAUUUUAUUUAUGUCUUUAUAUUUUUAGCUGCACCAGCCACAUAGGGAAAGGUCCUGGGCCAGGGAUGGAACCCGAGCCACAGCAGUGACAAUGCUGGAUCCUUCACCCACUCGGCCACCUAAGGAACUCCUCCUAUCUUAUUUUUAAGAACCAGGUGGAAUUGGUUCAAGUCUUCAUUUGUUGGCACUCCCAAGGUUGUCUCCAGGUCGUCGUCACGUUAGAAGGAGGUGUGUAUCCUCGUGGUCACCUCUGGCUGGCAGCUCUACGUCAGUGGCAGGACCACUGCCUCUGGGCACUGCCCGCAUUUCCCUCCCAGGGGACCCAGAUACGGAUCUCAGCGACGCUGUAGUCUUUCCCCGGAUCGCUCCAGGCUCCAGGCACGGACUUUGGCCGGGACGAAGAUAGGCAGGCUUAGAGAGGAGGAUGGAGAGGAGGAUGAAGCCCAAGAGGACGGCAAGCUCCUCCCUGCCCCGGGAUCUGAGUCCAGACACCGUCUGGAGGGCCACAUCCACAGCACAUGGGGGUCAAAUCGAAGCUGCAGCUGCACAGUCACAGCAAUGCAGGUUCCAAGUAGCAUCUGCAAACUACACCAUAGCUCAUGGCAACGCCGGAUCCUCAACCCACUAAGUGAGGCCAGGGAUGGAACCCGCAUCCUCAUAGAUAGUAGUCGGAUUCGUUUCCACUGCGUCACAAUGGGGAACUCCUUCUUACCUACUUUUUUAACAUUCAAAUCAGCUCUUCGAAAGCAAAGGCAAGACAAUAAUAGUAUUAGUAGCUUACAGUUAAAGCGAGGAAUCAAACAGCACUUCUAUAGCAUCUAUUAUGUGGCAGGAAAACCAGGACGUGCUUCAUUUCGUUUUAUGGGCUGGUAACCGCAGUCGAUGGUCAGUUGGUGAGCUGGUUCCAUUCGAUGGAUCCUUUGCAAACACCUGUGUGUCGGAUUGAGGGUGGAAGUUGGGGGCAUGGGCCUCAAUUUGUAGUUCAAAUUCUGGUCUAAGUUGUCUCAUCCAAGUUGAAGGUUCACAGAAUGGCUGGAAACCAGUUGAACAAGCACGGUGGUCUGAGCAGGGCAAGAAGAAUAGGUGAUGCAGGUGUCUAGAGAGAAUUCAAGCCACACGGGGAUCAUACUUGGGGCCCUCCGGCUCCCAAAUCCCUGUCCUCAGCCCUUGGGAGAAUGGACCUAGGAAGAUUGGGGGUCCCUUUUGGGACCUGUCAGCACUCUCUGUGAGAAGACACCGUGGUCAAAG